CCAGACUCCUACGGGAGGCAGCAGUGGGGAAUAUUGCACAAUGGGGGGAACCCUGAUGCAGCGACGCCGCGUGGGUGAAGGAGCACCUCGGUGCGUAAAGCCCUAUCGGCAGGGAAGAAAAGCGAACAGGUUCGCCUGGACGGUACCUGACUAAGAAGCCCCGGCUAACUACGUGCCAGCAGCCGCGGUAAUACGUAGGGGGCAAGCGUUAUCCGGAUUCACUGGGUGUAAAGGGAGCGUAGACGGCGACGCAAGUCUGGAGUGAAAGCCCGCGGCCCAACUGCGGGACUGCUUUGGAAACUGCCCGGCUAGAGUGCUGGAGAGGUAAGCGGAAUUCCUAGUGUAGCGGUGAAAUGCGUAGAUAUUAGGAGGAACACCAGUGGCGAAGGCGGCCUGCUGGACGGUGUACUGACGCUGAGGCUCGAAAGCGUGGGGAGCAAACAGGAUUAGAUACCCCAGUAGA
rnacentral:rRNA from 1 species